rnacentral:rRNA from 1 species
AUGGCAUCAUCUGGUAUUGAAAACUCCGGUGGAUAGAGAUGGGCACGCGCAAGAUUAGAUAGUUGGUGAGGUAACGGCUCACCAAGUCAGCGAUCUUUAGGGGGCCUGAGAGGGUGAUCCCCCACACUGGUACUGAGACACGGACCAGACUCCUACGGGAGGCAGCAGUGAGGAAUAUUGGACAAUGGGUGAGAGCCUGAUCCAGCCAUCCCGCGUGAAGGACGACGGCCCUAUGGGUUGUAAACUUCUUUUGUAUAGGGAUAAACCUAGAUACGUGUAUCUAGCUGAAGGUACUAUACGAAUAAGCACCGGCUAACUCCGUGCCAGCAGCCGCGGUAAUACGGAGGGUGCAAGCGUUAUCCGGAUUUAUUGGGUUUAAAGGGUCCGUAGGCUGAUGUGUAAGUCAGUGGUGAAAUCUCACAGCUUAACUGUGAAACUGCCAUUGAUACUGCAUGUCUUGAGUGUUGUUGAAGUAGCUGGAAUAAGUAGUGUAGCGGUGAAAUGCAUAGAUAUUACUUAGAACACCAAUUGCGAAGGCAGGUUACUAAGCAACAACUGACGCUGAUGGACGAAAGCGUGGGGAGCGAACAGGAUUAGAUACCCUGGUAGUCCACGCCGUAAACGAUGCUAACUCGUUUUUGGGUUUUCGGAUUCAGAGACUAAGCGAAAGUGAUAAGUUAGCCACCUGGGGAGUACGAAC